GAAAAAGUUAUGAUGGAGACAGUAUUUUUUGAGUGAUGUAAAAGCGAUCUGAGGACGGUGUAAGCUCAGACUAUACAUUCAAGGAAGAAAAUCACUCUGGAACUAGAUUACUGAACAAAAACAGUAAGUAAUCUCGGCUCACACCACGUUAAGGUGUCUAAGAGGCGUAUUAAAUUAUUAUACGCAAUUAGGGUGGUACCGCGAGAUAAUUCCUCCUCGUCCCUUUU
rnacentral:ncRNA from 1 species